rnacentral:rRNA from 2 species
UUGGAGGGCAAGUCUGGUGCCAGCAGCCGCGGUAAUUCCAGCUCCAAUAGCGUAUAUUAAAGUUGUUGCAGUUAAAAAGCUCGUAGUUGAACUUCGGGGUCUACCCAUUGGUCAGGCUUAAUUGUCUGUACUGGUGAGAUGGAUCUCUACCUUCUGAGGAACUUUCAUGCCAUUUAUUUGGUGUGGUUGGAAAUCAGGACUGUUACUUUGAAAAAAUUAGAGUGUUUAAAGCAGACUAUCGUCUGAAUACAUUAGCAUGGAAUAAUGAAAUAGGACGGACUGAUUCUAUUUCGUUGGUUUCUAGGAUCACCGUAAUGAUUAAUAGGGAUAGUUGGGGGCAUUAGUAUUCAAUUGUCAGAGGUGAAAUUCUUGGAUUUAUUGAAGACUAACUACUGCGAAAGCAUUUGCCAAGGAUGUUUUCAUUAAUCAAGAACGAAAGUUAGGGGAUCGAAGACGAUCAGAUACCGUCGUAGUCUUAACCAUAAACUAUGCCGACUAGGGAUCGGACGAAGUUAAUUUUAUAAUGACGCGUUCGGCGCCUUACGGGAAAC